rnacentral:sRNA from 1 species
AUAUAGUCCAAUAAGGUUACGCCACGUGUCCAAUAUAAAUGGUUUGGCCCAAUCGCGAAGAAGCCGUGACGCUACUCUCGCUGGAUCACUAAAUUAAUUGUAGUGUAUAGAAUUAGGUUUGUUAAAUAUAAAUAAGAGGGGUAAAUAAAGGAAACCGUGUUUCACUAGGAUCGCACAUUCACACAAGCGAGUAAAUAAGGUUGGAGAGGGCGCUGCCGGAGGAACACCGUCUUUCAUUUUUCCGGCCAUCUCUUGUUUCUUCCACCAGUCGGCGAUCCCUUUUCUCUGACACCAAACAUGACGACAUCAAGGCGCUUUGCUGACAGGAAAGUGGAGAAGUUUGAGAAGAACAUUACCAAAAGAGGAUUUGUGCCGGACACAACCUCUAAAAAGGGAAAAGACUAUCCUGUUGGUCCACUGCUGCUGGGUUUCUUCGUCUUUGUUGUCAUUGGCUCAUCUCUCUUCCAGAUUAUCAGAAUAGCAACAAGUGGAGGCAUGGCUUAAUGGAGCUUUGUUUUGGAUUGUGUCAUCUUCUCUUUCUUAGCCUCGUAGAAAAUGCCAAUACUUCCCUACAUCUAAUGUACUUGUACAAGACCGAGUUCCUGUUCAUGUUUUGAUGAACUUUAAGAAUUUUUAAUUUAAGUUACAACUAUAGUUCAUCUUGUUUUUAAUCCUUCCUAUAGAAGGGAAUACGAGAGUUAAUUCUUUACGCUUGGGCGGGGGUUGGUAUGAAUGGUUUUAAAAGUUAGCUAUGAAUUUUGAAGUGGUGCAUGCAACACUCGGAAAGGUUCAAAAGAAGAUAUAUGAUAUCACUUAAUCAUUUAACAUUCAACAAAAGUUUAUGACGCUUUCAGUAGAUUCUCUCUAGGGCUUGUUUGUAUUCCAACGCCAACAUGCUACAUUCCUUUAGUGUUUUGAGCGCAGAGCCUCAGACGGUAAGGAAACUUCUGUGCAACAAGGCCAACAAUAGUCGCGGAGUUCAAUAUAGUCUGAAUUAUUAGUAUGGUUCAUUAAUAAUAAUGUUAGGUUUUUUUUACUUGCUACAUAUAUUUUUUUUUCAAUUUAUGCCAAUUUUUUUUUAAUCCUCGGGCCAUAACCUAAAACAUUGAAAGAUAGACAACCUUUCGACUAGUGAAUAGAGUAAACAAACAUAUAGAUUACAUGUAUUCUACUGAACAUAGAUAAGCGGUUGUUGGUUCUUUAUUCCCACGGUUUUAAAAUAGACAACUAUCGUAAACAGUAAAAUAAUAAUGACCUUUAACUUAAUAUACACUACAUCGAUGCGUAGUUGGGGAGAGGCAUCCAAAAUUGAAAUCCCAGCUUCUAACCGUGACAAGCUGGAAGGAGAGUGAGAAAAGCUACACGUGUGUAACAAAGAUCCCACAUUUUGGAGACAGAUUUGUAUAAAAGUACAUGUUAUAUAAUGCAAGACUGCAAGAGCAAAGUAUGAGGUGCCUAGUGACACCGGGGUAACCCAUGGUUUAUAGUCCUUGUGAAGGGAGUGUCCAGAUUGAGAACGUUCGAGGAUCUUAAUAUGCCAUUCUCCCUGACUUCGGAAGCUUCAAUUCUGAAUUGCUCCAUCUCCAGUUUGGACCUUUCAGCCAGAAAACAUGAUUGAUCUAACAGAAAUUAAACUUUCAUAUACAGAAAAAAAAAAAAGCCUUGAAAGCAAGGUGAUCGAAGUGCAUGUUUGAGAGUACGAUACAAACCCGUAUCGUUUUCCAUCUGCUUUGUUAACCAGCAAUGAACAUUAUCAAUCAUACAUCAGCGUUAACCGCGGGUAAAUUGCAAGGAACCUCAUGAUUCGAGGGAAAUAUUCUCAGGCCAUUUCUGCUGUAUUAUGCAAGCUUAAAUCAAGCCGUCGCAGUGAGGCACGGAUAAAAUGCAGUACCAUG